AGUGAACGCUGGCGGUAGGCCUAACACAUGCAAGUCGAACGGCAGCACAGUAAGAGCUUGCUCUUACGGGUGGCGAGUGGCGGACGGGUGAGGAAUACAUCGGAAUCUACUUUUUCGUGGGGGAUAACGUAGGGAAACUUACGCUAAUACCGCAUACGACCUACGGGUGAAAGCAGGGGAUCUUCGGACCUUGCGCGAUUGAAUGAGCCGAUGUCGGAUUAGCUAGUUGGCGGGGUAAAGGCCCACCAAGGCGACGAUCCGUAGCUGGUCUGAGAGGAUGAUCAGCAACACUGGAACGGAGACACGGUCCAGACUCCUACGGGAGGCAGCAGUGGGGAAUAUUGGACAAUGGGCGCAAGCCUGAUCCAGCCAUACCGCGUGGGUGAAGAAGGCCUUCGGGUUGUAAAGCCCUUUUGUUGGGAAAGAAAAGCAGCAGGUUAAUACCCCGCUGUUCUGACGGUACCCAAAGAAUAAGCACCGGCUAACUUCGUG
rnacentral:rRNA from 1 species